UACGAAGGUGGCAAGCGGUGUUCGGAUUUACUGGGCGUACAGGGAGCGUAGGCGGUUGGGUAAGCCCUCCGUGAAAUCUCCGGGCCCAACCCGGAAAGUGCGGAGGGGACUGCUAGGCUAGAGGAUGGGAGAGGGGCGCGGAAUUCCCGGUGUAGCGGUGAAAUGCGUAGAGAUCGGGAGGAAGGCCGGUGGCGAAGGCGGCGCUCUGGAACAUUUCUGACGCUGAGGCUCGAAAGCGUGGGGAGCAAACAGG
rnacentral:rRNA from 1 species